GCCUGCCUUCCUCACAUCCAUGGCAAUACCAUUCGGUACUUAACUUUUCCCUGGAGCUUUCAAUAUCUUUAUUCAAUUUGGCACGACUUUUGUUCUCCUCGGUAAAAAGAUCUCUAGUGACUGGAGUUCCUUUGUAGUUUAGAGCUUUUUUUCGAUUUUUUUUAGGUUUUUUUCAUUAGUUUUUACUGGUGUGGGCAAAAGCUUAUUAAAAGAAGUGACUUUUGUUGUUCGUCUCUUUAAUUCAGCAAGAGGGAUAUGGUCAUCAGUCGAAUCCGAGUCAGAAGAGUAAACAUUGGAAUAGGAAAAUUUGCCAGACUUGUUGGAUGCCAUUCCAGACGGACCAGGUUGAGGAGAUUCAGGUGGACGCCUAUUUUCUUUGUUGGUAUCAUCCGGUGCCGGUACGUCUGAGAGAAUUGAAGGAGCAAAUGCUGUUUGUGGAAUUGCCUCGGGAUUUAAUGGAAACAGACCAGUAGCCUUAAAACCGUUUAUAAUGUUACUAUGUGUCAUGCAUUUAGACCAAACAUUUGAAAGUAUGAUGUUAAAACGUGAUUUGGUCAGCUUUUUGUUAGGAUUCUGAUCCAAGAAUAAUAAUACCUCAUUAUCCCAAUGAUGCUCAAAUGAACGAUAUACAGAUUUGUCGAGGGGUUGAAGCUCAUGUGUUGUAUUCGAUGGCAAACAUUAGAUAUCUAUAUCAAGUGAGUCUCCAACAUCAACAAUUGACAAAUCAAGAUGACAAGCUGCACCAUCAAAAACUAAGAGGCACCUUCCUGGACUUUUGUAUCGGGCUAAGUGCUUGAGGAAUUCUUUAAAAAGUUCGUUAGUCAUGUAGCCUUUACUUGAUUUUUCCACUAGAGUUCCUGGUGGCAAAUUAUCAUGUAAUUCUGGCUUUAGCCUCUUUCCUUUAAAAAUAAUCAUAGGAGGUAUUGGUAUUCCAAGGGUAUUGACACAUCCUGCAAUUGUCACACUCUCUGCAUGUUCUGACGAUUGAAAGUGAACACGUUUUAUCCCUUUCUUAGCUAAAACGGUUGGCUGGUGGUGAAUAGUCAAGCGGAAUCCUUUUUCAUCCAUAUUAUAAAGUCUUUCAGGAAACUACAGGAUUUCGCUUCAUAAAAGCCUUUAGCCAGUCUUUACCAGCAUGUUUUGAAGUUGUAUUAAAUUGAUGAACAAUUUUAUUAUCUUCGCAGAAUCUGAAUACCAAUCGACGAAGGAUCCGUGGAGUCACAGGUUCUUCUGGGAAUAUUAAACCUUGCGGCAGCCCCAUAUGUACUCAGAGUACCGCGUUGAACAGAUCAAACUGCUGAUAUUAAAUCCUCCUCGCACCAAGGUGCCCUUUUAGGAGGCAUGAUGUUAAAAAUCACUGAAAAUAAAACGAGAGUAGUUUAGAAGUUUAAUAAUAUGUUAAUAAAAACAUUAAUUUGUCAUGAGGAUAAUAAGGCCUAUAGCUUAUUUUUAUAGGCCUUAUCCCGGUACCCAUCCAUGACGAAAUAUUAUGUAAAUUUAUUUAAAUUAUG